rnacentral:rRNA from 1 species
GACGAACGCUGGCGGCGUGCUUAACACAUGCAAGUCGAACGGUAAGGCCCUUCGGGGUACACGAGUGGCGAACGGGUGAGUAACGCGUGAGUAACCUGCCCUUCACUCUGGGAUAACAGUUGGAAACGGCUGCUAAUACCGGAUAUUCAGCUCCUGUCGCAUGGUGGGGGUUGGAAAGUUUUGGUGGUGGAGGAUGGGCUCGCGUCCUAUCAGCUUGUUGGUGGGGUGAUGGCCUACCAAGGCGUCGACAGGUAGCCGGCCUGAGAGGGCGACCGGCCACAUUGGGACUGAGAUACGGCCCAAACUCCUACGGGAGGCAGCAGUGGGGAAUAUUGCACAAUGGGCGGAAGCCUGAUGCAGCAACGCCGCGUGCGGGAUGACGGCCUUCGGGUUGUAAACCGCUUUCAGCAGGGACGAAGCGCAAGUGACGGUACCUGCAGAAGAAGCACCGGCUAACUACGUG